rnacentral:lncRNA from 1 species
UGGAACAUAAUAUAUCCAUGUUAAAUAUUAAGAAUCAUAGAAAGAAUUUUCUCAUAAUCUCCCCCAGUUUUCCAGAAAGCCAUGGGAGAGGUGGACCCAGCUUUCGUUCAAGAACCAGAUCACAGGCCAAAGCUCUCCCAUAUUGAAGCUGAAGGCAUUCCUAUAAUAGACAUCUCCCCAAUAAUCAACAAAACAGUUAAAGACCCUUCAGCCAU